rnacentral:rRNA from 1 species
UGCUUCCAGGAAAAGCCACUAAGCUUCAGUCUAGAGUUGACCGUACCGCAAACCGACACAGGUGGGCAGGAUGAAAAUUCUAAGGCGCUUGAGAGAACUCAGGAGAAGGAACUCGGCAAAUUAACACCGUAACUUCGGGAGAAGGUGUGCCCCGGUAGCGUGUAGAGACUUGCUCUCGAAGCGCGAUGGGGUUGCAGUGAAAUGGUGCUGCGACUGUUUAAUAAAAACACAGCACUCUGCAAACACGAAAGUGGACGUAUAGGGUGUGACGCCUGCCCGGUGCCGGAAGGUUAAUUGAUGGGGUGCAAGCUCUUGAUCGAAGCCCCGGUAAACGGCGGCCGUAACAAUAACGGUCCUAAGGUAGCGAAAUUCCUUGUCGGGUAAGUUCCGACCUGCACGAAUGGCGUAACGAUGGCCACACUGUCUCCUCCUGAGACUCAGCGAAGUUGAAAUGUUUGUGAAGAUGCAAUCUACCCGCGGCUAGACGGAAAGACCCCAUGAACCUUUACUGUAGCUUUGCAUUGGACUUUGAACCGGUUUGUGUAGGAUAGGUGGGAGACUGUGAAGCCGGGACGCUAGUUUCGGUGGAGUCAACCUUGAAAUACCAUCCUGAUUUGUUUGAGGUUCUAACCUUGGUCCGUGAAUCCGGAUCGGGGACCGUGCAUGGUAGGCAGUUUGACUGGGGCGGUCUCCUCCCAAAAGGUAACGGAGGAGUACGAAGGUACGCUUAGGGCGGUCGGACAUCGCCCACAAAGUGCAAUGGCAAAAGCGUGCUUGACUGCGAGACUCACAAGUCGAGCAGGUACGAAAGUAGGUCAUAGUGAUCCGGUGGUUCUGUAUGGAAGGGCCAUCGCUCAACGGAUAAAAGGUACUCUGGGGAUAACAGGCUAAUUCCUCCCAAGAGUUCAUAUCGACGGGGGAGUCUGGCACCUCGAUGUCGGCUCAUCACAUCCUGGGGCUGUAGUCGGUCCCAAGGGUAUGGCUGUUCGCCAUUUAAAGUGGUACGCGAGCUGGGUUUAAAACGUCGUGAGACAGUUUGGUCCCUAUCUGCCGUGGGCGCUGGAAAUUUGAAGGGGGCUGCUCCUAGUACGAGAGGACCGGAGUGGACGAACCUCUGGUGUACCGGUUAUGACGCCAGUCGUAUUGCCGGGUAGCUAAGUUCGGAAGAGAUAAACGCUGAAAGCAUCUAAGCGCGAAACUCGCCUUAAGAUUAGAUUUCCCGGAGUCUUGAACUCCCUGAAGGGUCGUCGAAGACCACGACGUUGAUAGGUCAGGUGUGGAAGCGCAGCAAUGCGUUAAGCUAACUGAUACUAAUUGCCCGUGCGGCUUGAU